GCCCAGAGCUUGGUGGUAGAGCUUCUGCCUCGGAUGCAGGUUCGCAGGUUCAAGGUCACAAGGUCGCAGGUUCAAUCCCUGGCGUCUCUCGGCA